rnacentral:rRNA from 1 species
AACGAACGCUGGCGGCAGGCCUAACACAUGCAAGUCGAACGCCGUAGCAAUACGGAGUGGCAGACGGGUGAGUAACACGUGGGAACGUACCCUUCGGUUCGGGAUAACUCAGGGAAACUUGAGCUAAUACCGGAUAAGUCCGAGAGGAGAAAGAUUUAUCGCCGAGGGAUCGGCCCGCGUCUGAUUGGCUUGUUGGUGAGGUAACGGCUCACCAAGGCGACGAUCAGUAGCUGGUCGAGAGGAUGAUCAGCCACAUUGGGACUGAGACACGGCCCAAACUCCUACGGGAGGCAGCAGUGGGGAAUAUUGGACAAUGGGCGCAAGCCUGAUCCAGCCAUGCCGCGUGAGUGAUGAAGGCCCUAGGGUUGUAAAGCUCUUUUACCCGGGAAGAUAA